rnacentral:rRNA from 1 species
GACGAACGCUGGCGGCGUGCUUAACACAUGCAAGUCGAACGGAAAGGACUGCUUUCCCUUGUGGAUUGCGGGUACUCGAGUGGCGAACGGGUGAGUAACACGUGAGUGAUCUGCCCCCAACUUGGGUAUAAGCCUGGGAAACUGGGUCUAAUUCACGAUAGGACUGCAGGGUGGGGCCUGUGGUGGAAAACGAUUUUCUAGUGGUUGGGGAUGAGCUCGCGGCCGAUCAGCUUGUUGGUGGGGUACUGGCCUACCAAGGCGGCGACGGGUAGCCGGCCUGAGAGGGUGGACGGUGACAUUGGGACUGGGUUACGGCCCAGACGCCUGCGGGCGGCAGCAGUGGGGGAUAUUGCACCAUGGGCGGAAGCCUGAUGCAGCGACGCCGCGUGGAGGAUGACGGCCUUCGGGUUGUAAACUCCUUUCGACCGCGAGGAAGCCACCUGGUUGGAAGGGUGGUGACGGUAGUGGUAGAAGAAGCACCGGCUAACUACGUG